UCUAAACUCAAAAGAAAAAGGAAAAUAAAAAUCAACACCAACAUCAUCAACAUCACGCAUCAUUCUUCACCAUCAUCACUAAUCACCAUGUUCAUCAUCAUAGAAGCUUCUUGCAAGUUGCAAAUUCACUACUUAGCUUCUUCUACGUGUAAAUCUCUAAAUCAAACACCAUCAUCAAGCUCUCUCCACCAUAUGAUGCACCACCCAAAUCACCCAAUCAAAAUUGAUUUUCAGUCUGAAUAAUCACUGAAAUUCAUCUAUAAAUAGUGCAAGGAUUCAACUCAAUUCAAUUCACAAAUCAAUUGCAAACCUAUCCUCAAAUUUCAGCAAGUUUCAAUUCAAGAAAAAUCAAAUUAAAAACUCCCUGCUUCUACAACCACCACCGGCGGCCACCUGAAGGCGGCCUCGCGCCGGCGUCCAGCCACCUCGCCGCCCUCGCUCCGCCUCCUGCUCCUCCCUCCUGCUCGCCGUCCUCCCUCCACCACCGUUCGCCCUCCUCCUCUCCCCUUCCUCUCGCGACUCCCUCCUCUCUCCUUCCUCUUCGCUGCGCCCCCUGCAGCGUCACCACCGCCGGAACCCGCGACCACCCUCCUCGCCGCCUGAAUCACCGGCGCUGCCCCAGCCCAACCGGCGAACCAACCCCACACAACUCCUCCUUCCCUUCCUCCUCUGCCUUCUCCUAUUUCGUUCCCCUGUAAUAUUGAAAGACCAAAUUUGGUUUCCAGGAACUACUCCCAAAUUUAAUCAGUAAAAUAAAUACCCAUAGUCCAUUUAUUUGACCCAUUAAAGAAAGAAGAGGUCCUUGGAGCUCAAGAAGAACGGCUCAUCGAAAGUAAGGAAAACGAGUGCUAAUAGAGGUUGAGGUACCGAAGAGGACAACGGGAUGGAUUAGUGGUGAGGACGUAUCCGUUAAAGCAAGGUUACUAAGUUUAAUACGUGAGCUUCACUAGUUAAUUAUGUACUAAAACUCUAGUUUUAAAUUCCAAGGAUCAUUAUGGUUUGUAUUAUGACAAUUUAGUUAAUAUCACGAGUCUUUUAUUUCAUUAA